rnacentral:rRNA from 1 species
UACGUAGGGGGCAAGCGUUGUCCGGAAUCAUUGGGCGUAAAGCGCGUGUAGGCGGUCCGGUAAGUCUGCUGUGAAAGUCGGGGGCUCAACCCUCGAAUGCCGGUGGAUACUGUCGGGCUAGAGUGCGGAAGAGGCGAGUGGAAUUCCUGGUGUAGCGGUGAAAUGCGCAGAUAUCAGGAGGAACACCUAUUGCGAAGGCAGCUCGCUGGGACGUAACUGACGCUGAGACGCGAAAGCGUGGGGAGCAAACAGG